UGACAGGCAACAGGGCACUGGGCAGGUACCUGUUAAAUGGUCUUCUGCCUACCCCUAGUCCUGGGUAUCGUUCUCCCUCUGUUGUACUCACCUCCUUCCCUUCCCGACUGUCACUUUCCCCUACCUUUAUCCUCUGCCCUUCCCCUCCGCUGCUCUCCCUGCCCUCCCCACUGUUAUUGCACAUGGACACGCACAUUUGUGCACGCUCUGAGGGUAACGUGGCCCUUGAUUCCAGUAAAGGGGGAUUUGUUGUGCUCGUACUGCAUAUAGUGCUGGGAGCUGUGCCCUGAAAAAUAAAGAAGGUUUGUUGUAUUCUCACUGCAGAUAGAGCUGGGAGCUGUGCCCUGAAGAUUAAAGCAAACUUCAUGUGCUUGGAUUGAGAAUGUGGAGACACUGUGGAUGUCUGUACCAGCUCUGUGUGAUUCCCGGUGAGUCUGACUGAGGGAGAUAUUGAAACUCCAGCGUGUUCCAUGGAUGAAAACAGGUGUUGUCCGUGUGCCUGCUACGUGGGAGCAACUACUCUGUCCAACAGGAGAGGGGAACAACUGAUGGAAUAUCCCAUUUAUCCAGAUGAGACCGUUACAUAUAUUUGGCAAGUGACUCAAGGAGAUGCCCCAUUGUCAUCUGAUCCACGUUGUCUAACAAGACUGAACUCCAGCUCCUUUGAUCCACAGAAAUAUUUAUCUUCUGGGCCUUUUGGACCUGCAAGAUUCGCAAGAUGGCGACGGUGAGCUCCGCUGCGCUUCUCUGCAUUUAAGGAUCAUGUUUUCUAUGCUGGUGGUGCAACUGUUCAUCUUCUUAGCGGAAAUCCUCCCGAGGGCACAUCACCAGGUUUUGCCCUGUUCCCAGGUACCCCUUGCACCUCUCUGGGUGGACAA